UUGGAGGAGAGGAUUAUGUUGAUUUUUCUUCGUCAAAAUGGUUCUGCACGGAUGCGGCAUAUUCCCGGGUACCGCUCAACCACCAUAUAUGUGCUACCAAGUGAAUUAUAUAGUUUCAUCUGUUCAAUAUCGUAUCCGUCUAUAUGUGAAAUAAUUUUGGUGGAUUGACAAUAAAAUAUUUGUAUAAUAGCAAUGUAAAUAUUGUGUUUAAAUUUUAUAAGCAAGAAAUAUAAUCAAAUGCUCUGCCUAAUUGCGAAUGAUAAGA